rnacentral:sRNA from 1 species
GCCAGGCAUGGUGGCACACGCCUGUAAUCCCAGUGGCUCAGGAGGCUGAGGCAGGAAGAGCACAAGUUCAAGGCCAGCCUCAACAACUUAACAAGGCCCUAAGCAACUUAGUGAGAUCCUGUCUCUA